AGAGACGAGUCAGAGUUUGAUCCUGGCUCAGGACGAACGCUGGCGGCGUGCCUAACACAUGCAAGUCGAACGGAGUUUAGAGAAUGAGAGCUUCGGCAGGAAUUUUCGAAGACUUAGUGGCGGACGGGUGAGUAACGCGUGAGCAACCUGCCUUACAGAGGGGGACAACAGUUGGAAACGACUGCUAAUACCGCAUAACAUGUACUUACCGCAUGAUAGAUACAUCAAAGAUUUAUCGCUGUAAGAUGGGCUCGCGUUGGAUUAGAUAGUUGGUGAGGUAACGGCUCACCAAGUCGACGAUCCAUAGCCGGACUGAGAGGUUGAACGGCCACAUUGGGACUGAGAUACGGCCCAG
rnacentral:rRNA from 1 species